rnacentral:misc_RNA from 1 species
GAUGAAGAACGUAGCGAAAUGCGAUAAGUAAUGUGAAUUGCAGAAUUCAGUGAAUCAUCGAAUCUUUGAACGCACAUUGCGCCCGCUAGUAUUCUGGCGGGCAUGCCUGUUCGAGCGUCAUUUCAACCAUCAAGCCCUUUAGCUUGUGUUGGGGACCUGCGGCUGCCGCAGCCCCCGAAAUGCAGUGGCGGGCUCGUUGUCACACCGAGUGCAGUAAUCAUUCUUCUCUCCGGGCGUGGCGGCGGGUUCCGGCCGUAAAAUCACCAAUUUAUCAAGGUUGACCUCGGAUCAGGUAGGAAUACCCGCUGAACUUAAGCAUAUCAUAAGCGGAGGA